UAAGCGGAGGAAAAGAAACUAACAAGGAUUCCCCUAGUAGCGGCGAGCGAAGCGGGAAAAGCUCAAAUUUGUAAUCUGGCGUCUUCGACGUCCGAGUUGUAAUCUCGAGAAGUGUUUUCCGRGAUAGACCGCAUACAAGUCUCUUGGAACAGAGCGUCAUAGUGGUGAGAACCCAGUKCACGAUGCGGAUGCCUAUUACUUUGUGAUACACUUUCGAAGAGUCGAGUUGUUUGGGAAUGCAGCUCAAAUUGGGUGGUAAAUUCCAUCUAAAGCUAAAUAURGGCGAGAGACCGAUAGCGAACAAGUACCGUGAGGGAAAGAUGAAAAGCACUUUGGAAAGAGAGUUAACAGUACGUGAAAUUGUUGGAAGGGAAACACAUGCAGUGAUACUUGCUAUUCGGGGCAACUCGAUUGGCAGGCCCGCAUCAGUUUUUCGGGGCGGAAAAUCGUAGAGAGAAGGUAGCAGUUUCGGCUGUGUUAUAGCUCUUUACUGGAUUCGCCCUGGGGGACUGAGGAACGCAGCGUGCUUUUAGCAUGAGCUUCGGCUUAU
rnacentral:rRNA from 1 species